rnacentral:lncRNA from 1 species
GUUGCCUUCCAGUUUAAUGGGCCAAGUUAACAGAUCAGCUGUGUUAGCAUGGUCUCUCCUCUCUCUUCUGUUACAUUCAGGUUUUGCCAAGAGGACAGAAGUUGUUGGUGUCCAUUUCUGCACAAAGUUUAACGGUGUGAGAGUGACCUGCUCUGAUGGACCUGCUGUUCCAGGACACGCUACACUCCAGCGGGUUUCUUCCCUUCAGUUGAAUGCAAACAUACAGGGACAAGGGUAUGCUACAGACAUAAGAAGAAAUUCAGUACCAGAUACAGCCCUAAAGUGGAAGAAGAGAUGUUGAUGAAUGACUGCUUCUGUAUCAUCUGACAGUUGUCAGGUGCUACUCCUAGUGGACUCACUGCUCUCCCACACACACAGUAAUGGAUCUAUCUGCCUUUGUGAAGUGUAAGGAGAAAGAAAAGAGGCAGUUGCUGUAUUCUGCCCUUCCAUAACCAGUCUGUCAAUGACAAGAAGCUCCUUCCUUUAGGGUCAGACAUUGAGCUGUUAGGAACACCUUUUUCUUCCUCUCAUUCAAUUUUUCUCCAGCUGUAUCCAUUCUGUUUAUCCAAGCAACGAUGUAUUUAUGCAGGUACGUGUACCAAUGGGCUUUAAGCUUUCUUUGAUCUUAGAGUAACAUUUUGUAAAAUUUUGUAGAGUGACAAUAUAAUAACGGCAAAUAAUAACAACAUGCUUUCUUAGGGAAACAACACAGCCAGAUUUAAAUACAUACAGUAGUUAUGUUUACAUUACUUGAAUGGCAGUUUUGCAAGAACAAGUUGUUAGUGACAGGAGUGUAAGCUGUUGGUUUUGGAAUAGUUUUGCAUCUGCAUAUGAGGUUUAUUUAAUUCUAGUAAUCAUAGAAGAAGUUGCUUAUAGCUAAAUAGUAGUUGAAAAUUCUAAUUAAAGUAUAUACUUAUUUAUGUAUUUCUAUUGCAGGAGCUCAAGACAGGUAUUUCAGACUCCCUAGGAGUCAUGUGCUUAUCACUUCUCAUGUACUCCAAGAACACUAAGGUCCUUAUGUUUGAUUUUUCAGAAAUCAGGUCCAUCAGGAUGCUUUCAGACUAUAAAUAUUUAAUACAGUCUCCUUCCAGGAGAUAGAGCCAUAUUGAUUCUGUGUUCUUAAUCUUUACAACUUCAGUCUUUGUCUGGCUGAAAUUUGAAAGCUGUCCUGGGUGGGUUUGGGGGUGUUCUUUCUAUUUCUGCUUAAUGACCUGACUAAACUUCAGAUCAGCAGAACAAGAAUUCAUGGAACUUGACUGCACAUCCUCUCCAUCUCUUUCUCUAAAAAAAAAAAUAAAAAUGCAUGAUUUGCUUUAUUAUUUAAACA